rnacentral:rRNA from 1 species
UACGUAGGGUGCGAGCGUUAAUCGGAAUUACUGGGCGUAAAGCGUGCGCAGGCGGUUCGCUGUGUCUGCGGUGAAAGCCCCGGGCUCAACCUGGGAAUGGCCGUGGAAACUGGCGAGCUGGAGUGUGGCAGAGGGGGGUGGAAGUUCCACGUGUAGCAGUGAAAUGCGUAGAGAUGUGGAGGAACACCGAUGGCGAAGGCAGCCCCCUGGGCUGACACUGACGCUCAGGCACGAAAGCGUGGGGAGCAAACAGG